rnacentral:rRNA from 1 species
GAUGAACGCUGGCGGCGUGCCUAAUACAUGCAAGUCGAGCGAACGGACGAGAAGCUUGCUUCUCUGAUGUUAGCGGCGGACGGGUGAGUAACACGUGGAUAACCUACCUAUAAGACUGGGAUAACUUCGGGAAACCGUAGCUAAUACCGGAUAAUAUUUUGAACCGCAUGGUUCAAAAGUGAAAGACGGUCUUGCUGUCACUUAUAGAUGGAUCCGCGCUGCAUUAGAUAGUUGGUAAUGUAACGGCUUACCAAGGCAACGAUGCAUAGCCGACCUGAGAGGGUGAUCGGCCACACUGGAACUGAGACACGGUCCAGACUCCUACGGGAGGCAGCAGUAGGGAAUCUUCCGCAAUGGGCGAAAGCCUGACGGAGCAACGCCGCGUGAGUGAUGAAGGUCUUCGGAUCGUAAAACUCUGUUAUUAGGGAAGAACAUAUGUGUAAGUAACUGUGCACAUCUUGACGGUACCUAAUCAGAAAGCCACGGCUAACUACGUG